rnacentral:rRNA from 1 species
GACGAACGCUGGCGGCGUGCUUAACACAUGCAAGUCGAACGGUGAAGCGCCUUCCUUUUUGGUGGGUGUGGAUGAGUGGCGAACGGGUGAGUAACACGUGAGUAACCUGCCCCCUUCUUCUGGAUAACCGCAUGAAAGUGUGGCUAAUACGGGAUAUUCUGGGUCUGUCGCAUGAUGGGUCUGGGAAAGAUAUUGUUUCGGUGGGGGAUGGGCUCGCGGCCUAUCAGCUUGUUGGUGGGGUGAUGGCCUACCAAGGCGGUGACGGGUAGCCGGCCUGAGAGGGUGGCCGGUCACACUGGGACUGAGACACGGCCCAGACUCCUACGGGAGGCAGCAGUGGGGAAUAUUGCACAAUGGGCGCAAGCCUGAUGCAGCGACGCCGCGUGAGGGAUGGAGGCCUUCGGGUUGUGAACCUCUUUCGCCAGUGAAGCAGGCCUGCCUCGUUUGUGGGUGGGUUGACGGUAGCUGGAGAAGAAGCGCCGGCUAACUACGUG